AUUAGAUCUUUUAUCCAUAGAAAAAGAGGGUAUCUAGACAUAUUGAUUUCUUCAUAUUUUUACUUCUAUAAAGGAAGUUUCUUUGAAAAAUCUUAUAAAUCAAAAUGAAAACUAAACGAAAUGAAAAAUAUUAUAUAUAAAUGAAAUGAAGCGAAAUCUACUAAAGUUUUAUAGUACAAAGAAGAAUUAGACGAAUAAGAUUUUGAGGAAUUGUUCAUACGUAAAAUCAUAAUUAUUGAUACGGG
rnacentral:lncRNA from 1 species